ensembl:lncRNA SREBF2-AS1 SREBF2 antisense RNA 1
ACAAAAGCAAAAUGGGAAAAUGGCAAACAGAUCCUUUUCAAUUAGCUGCUGCAUUUAUCUCUUCCCCCAAAAGAGAAUCUUCUGCUGCUUCUGCUUCUUCAUCUGCACAACGGGGAUGUAGCCAUCAUACAUGCCUGCAAGGCUGUAGUGAGAUCCUGGACAUGAAAGCAUUCUGAAAACUGAAAAGUACAAUGCACCUGUGUUUCUGCCUAAGCUCUCUAAGCGUGACAGCAGGAGCGCCCGGGUCUCCAUCCCGGAGAGAUGUGUCCACACUCCGCCGCCACUGCUCUCUUCAUCAGCAACUUGCUUCUGCAGUCGCUGCCCAAAGUUUCGCGGAGCACCCGGCGACCUGGCCGUCGGUCAAUCCUGAGAAGCCCAGGGAUUCGGGGCGCGGAGACUGGGGGCUGGGCCCCGGGAAUCCCAAAGACGUCCCCGCGGCCAGGAAGGGAGUGACAGGUGCGACGCGCGGUCGCGGGCGGCGGGAGAGCGGACCACGGAAACCGCGUGUGGGCGCGCGAGGGAGGCGGCGGCCACGCGCUCUCCUUAGGCCGCUCCCUGAGACGCCCCCGCGACGUCCCUAGCCCCGCGCUCUGGAACCCGCGACCCUCGCGCCGCUUUCGGCCCCGCGGCGCCCCAGAUCCCACGGCCUCCCGGAGCGGCGCAGCUGGGUCGGGCUCACGCUCGCAGCGCCGGAAGGGUUGAGGACCGCCGGGGGCACCGUGCGCACGGGGUUCUUCCCGCGCGAACCGGGGCUGUCGGGGGGUGGGCGCACGCGCACCCGGGCGCGCCGCCGUAACCCCUUCCUCCCCGCGCGGCCCCCGCACUCCCACCCACCCACCACUCACCGUCGAUGUCUCCCAGGGUCAGCUCGUCGCCCAGCUCCGUGAGGGUCUCCAUGGUCUCCAGACCACCCAGCUCGCCGCUGUCGUCCAUCGCCCGGCUCAGCGCAGAAGCCCCCCCUGCCGUCCCGCUCAGGGAGACGCGGGGGCGGUGCCGUCGCCACCGCCCAUGACACCCGACAACCCCCGCCCGGCACCGCCUCACCGACGGGUGCCACCCGCCGCCAUGUUUGCGUUGCGCCCGGGCGCCGCACAGAAAGGGCGGGGCGGGAUUCCCCCGCCCCAGCCCGCGCCCCCUGCGGCCCCGCCUCCAGGCCGCGCGCCCCCCUGUUUGUUGUCAAUGGGACCAGGCUCAUCUCAGCCAAUGGGCGAGCGAAGCGGUGCGUGGGGUGAUGGCGCGUCAUCGAUCAGCAGCUCAGAUUUGCAUAGUGAGGUCCCUCCCCCCGCGGCCUCGGAGCGAAUGCCUGGAGUAGCCGUCCGGUCAUCAUCUUAACCUUCUCCGCCUUGUUUAAAGGAGCCGCUGCCUUCUCCGUUGGAUCUGCGCCACACGCAAGUCCGUCCACUGGCCUGGGAGUGAAGGGUUAACAGGCCACCCUCCACCUGCGACCGCUGGCCGCCUCCAGGCCUGGCUGGGAGCACAUUACGUCAUCUUCCCAGCUGCCUACCCCCGCCCUGCCCGCCUGAGAAAGCCAGCGGAGUCAAACCUGGACCCCAGCGCUCGGGACGGGAGUCCGGGUCAUCCAAGUCCCGCUUCUCCCAGCCUCCUUACAAAGGCGGGCACGGAGGCUUGACAAGGUUGCAGAUUGUCCCAGGGCGGUCAGGAUUUUACGUCUUCUGCUUUGCACCCGCCGUGACCUCGCGCUUACUCCAGUGGUCCUCAAUCUCUGGCACCUCGGAACCACUGAGGACCUGAAAACCACGCCAGUGCCCAGGCCCACCGACGGCCUCCUGAGAGGGGGGCCCCGGGCACGAGUUUUUUGAAAAAGUUCCACCGGGAUUCUGAAGUGCAGCCCACCCACUCCUUCAAGCACCUCACUGCCCCAUCUUGCAGCUGGUCGUGUUGUAAACUUCUAGGAAUUUAUCCAAAGGAAUAAAAAUUACAAGUGCUUAAAGAAGUGCUGUAACUAGGAAGAAGUGAGAAUAAGGAAAUGAAUAUGUAAAUUACAUCCACACGAUGGAAUACCAUGGGAUCAUUAAAAAUUACGCACACAAAUGUAUAUUUAUUAGCAAGAAAAGGCGUUCACAAUAUAUUGAUAAAAGGGAAAAGUUGAAGUUUCCUGCCAGUUUGUGAGAGGCAGCUGUUGCUUAGUGAUCAAUAAUUAAGAACACACAGGCUGUGUGGAGGCAGACACAUGGAUCCACUAAUUCACUGUGACCUUGGGUUAAUUGUUCUAAGCCUCAGUUUAGUCAUCUCUAAAAUGGGGAUAAAAUAGCAUCCCUCAUAGCUGUGGUUAAGUGAGAUUAUUUGCACAUUCAAUUGACAAUAUUUAUUGAACAUCUCUGUGGCAGGGAAACAAAUGGUUCCUGCCCUCUGAGAGCUUCCAGUCUAGCAAAAAAAAAAAUCAGAAAUCCCACACCCGUAUUAAACAUAAAAAUAAAUUACAGAUGAUGGUACAAGUGAUCAAGGAAAGGUAAUGGAUGUGAUGAAACUAACAAGGGCCCUGACUUGUGCUGUCAAGAAGCCUCUGAAGAAGUGACAUUUAAGAUGAAACCUAAAAUUAUGAGAGAACUGCAGCUGUUACAGCCAAAGGGGAAAUGAUGACAUGGACAAAGGCCUCGAGGCAGGAGGAGCUGCUGGCAGCCAGCUCUCGGCAUAAGCUUUGGCAUACAGUAAGUGCCUUGCAUACUGCUGUAUUGCAAUUGAAAAAAUAAGGAUCUGGCCAGGCGCGGUGGCUCACACCGGUAAUUCCAGCACUUUAGGAGGCCGAGGUGUGCAGAUCAUUUGAGGUCAGGAGUUGGAGACCAGCCUGACCAACAUGGUGAAACCCCGUCUCUACUAAAAAUACAAAAAUUAGCCGGGUGUGGUGGCGCAUGCCUGUAAUCCCAGCUAACCGGUAGGAGAACUGCCGGAACCUGGGAGAUAGAGGCUGCAGUGAGCUGAGAUCAUGUCGCUGCACUCCAGCCUGGGAGACAGAGCAAGACUCUGUCUC